AAAACACAAACAUGGUUUUACAGAAUGUUCUGUACUUUCCAUUUGAAAAGAGCUCUGUUUUCUUAAAAAUGAAAAUUUAUUUGGUCGAAAUCAAAGUGAUUUUUUUCGUUUGAAAGUUUUUUUUUCAUGUUUCCAUUGUAAAACUAAAAGUUCUUCCAUUCAACCUUAAAAUAGUAGAACUGUCAAAUAACUCAACAAGCAAAAAGAAAACAAAAAGAAAGACAAAUGAAGAUAAAAUUGUUUCUGUUACGCAUCGGCACUAUAGCAUAUUAGAUGGUAAAAAAAUAAAUUUCUUAUUUAAAACAUCACUUAAAUUCUUGGCCUUUUCUGUAUAAUUAGUUUGUUUACACUUGAAUAUUAAAAUUAACGCACGUACAACUUUUACAAAUAAUAUUUAUACAGUUAUAAUUAUACUUAAACAUAUUAUAAAAAACUGUUUUGUCCAUUCAUCUGAUAAAGAUUCUCAUAGUGUCUCUCAACCUAUCACCGUCGAGCUGUCAACACCUCUCCCUUCACCAGUUCAAACAAUCACAACUCGCAGCGGAUACGACAGCAAAACUGCGUUGCUUUUAAAGCGGGAAAGUGUUAUUCGGAUGUUCUUUAAGUGCAGUCCAAAUCAGUAUACAAAUAUCGGAGGACUGGAAAUGUGUGGCGCAAUGCUCCCAGACGGCUUCGAUUCGAAACCUGACCCCAGCCAGGGACCGGAUCUCGUUCUGAGGCAAUCACAGUGGCCACCGUGUUGAAAAGCUGCAACCUACACCAUCUAUAAAAACUGCCUGAAAUCAUGAAAUAAAAAUAAAAGUAUCAUUGCAAUUUGA